rnacentral:tRNA from 1 species
UGGUUCUUAUGGUUGAAUUA